rnacentral:rRNA from 1 species
UCUUCCGCAAUGGACGAAAGUCUGACGGAGCAACGCCGCGUGAGUGAUGAAGGCUUUCGGGUCGUAAAACUCUGUUGUUAGGGAAGAACAAGUGCUAGUUGAAUAAGCUGGCACCUUGACGGUAACUAACCAGAAAGCCACGGCUAACUACGUGCCAGCAGAGCAGGGAAUACGUAGGUGGCAAGCGUUAUCCGGAAGUAUUGGGCGUAAAGAGCGAGCAGGUGGUUUCUUAAGUCUGAUGUGAAAGCCCACGGCUCAACCGUGGAGGGUCAUUGGAAACUGGGAGACUUGAGUGCAGAAGAGGAAAGUGGAAUUCCAUGUGUAGCGGUGAAAUGCGUAGAGAUAUGGAGGAACACCAGUGGCGAAGGCGACUUUCUGGUCUGUAACUGACACUGAGGCGCGAAAGCGUGGGGAGCAAACAGG